CGGUUCCCGGGGUUAGACGGAGGAUGCAAGUGUUAUCCGGAAUCACUGGGCGUAAAGCGUCUGUAGGAGGUCAAAUAAGUCAACUGUUAAAUCUUGAGGCUCAACCUCAAAACCGCAGUCGAAACUAUUAGACUAGAGUAUAGUAGGGGUAAAGGGAAUUUCCAGUGGAGCGGUGAAAUGCGUAAAGAUUGGAAGGAACACCGAUGGCGAAUGCACUUUACUGGGCUAUUACUAACACUCAGAGACGAAAGCUAGGGUAGCAAAUGGGAUUAGAUACCCCAGUAGUCCUAGCUGUAAACAAUGGAUACUAGAUGUUGAACAGAAUCGACCUGUGCAGUAUCAAAGCUAACGCGUUAAGUAUCCCGCCUGGGAAGUAUGCUCGCAGAGUGAAACUCAAAGGAAUUGACGGGGGCCCGCACAAGCGGUGGAGCAUGUGGUUUAAUUCGAUGCAACACGAAGAACCUUUACCAGGGUUUGACAU
rnacentral:rRNA from 1 species